rnacentral:rRNA from 1 species
GAGUUUGAUCAUGGCUCAGAUUGAACGCUGGCGGCAGGCUUAACACAUGCAAGUCGAGCGGGGACUUCGGUCCUAGCGGCGAACGGGUGAGGAUUGCUUGAGAAUCUGCCUAGUAGUGGGGGAUAACGUUUCGAAAGGAACGCUAAUACCGCAUACGCCCUACGGGGGAAAGGGGGGGAUCUUCGGACCUCUCGCUAUUAGAUGAGCCCAAGUCGGAUUAGCUAGUUGGUGAGGUAAAGGCUCACCAAGGCGACGAUCCGUAGCUGGUCUGAGAGGAUGAUCAGCCACACUGGAACUGAGACACGGUCCAGACUCCUACGGGAGGCAGCAGUGGGGAAUAUUGGACAAUGGGCGAAAGCCUGAUCCAGCCAUGCCGCGUGUGUGAAGAAGGCCUUCGGGUUGUAAAGCACUUUAAGCGAGGAGGAAUGGCUCUGGGUUAAUACCCUUGAGCAGUGACGUUACUCGCAGAAUAAGCACCGGCUAACUCUGUGCCAGCAGCCGCGGUAAUACAGAGGGUGCAAGCGUUAAUCGGAAUUACUGGGCGUAAAGCGCGCGUAGGCGGUUACGUAAGUUGGAUGUGAAAUCCCCGGGCUCAACCUGGGAAUUGCAUUCAAAACUGCGUGGCUAGAGUG